rnacentral:antisense_RNA from 1 species
CACAGAAUGAGCCUUCAGAUCAUUUUAAUCAAUUAUUCUUUAUUAAGGCAACUUAAUAGGAGAAAAGACUAAAUGUUAUUUCUUGUGCUUCACAGAUGUAUUCCAGAUGAAUAUACAUUUAAAAAUAUACAAAGCAUAAACACAGACAAGUAGAAUACCUUUGAUUACACAGCUACAAAAAUCUGACCACCUUGAAAUAUUGUGUCAGGGUUAGCAAACUUCCUCCGUAAGGCCAAAUAGUAAAAGUCUCAGGCUUUGUGAACUAUAUGAUUUCUGCCACAACUAUUGAACUCUGUCAUCAUAGCGUAAAAGUAGCCAGAGACAACACAUACACAAAUGAGCAUAGCUAUGACCCAAUAAAACAUUAUUUACUAAAACAGGUAGUGGGCUAGAUUUGCCAAUUAUUGUACUAUAUAGAUACACUUUCUCUCACAAGAGAAUUCUACCAUAGGCAUUUGAAUACAGUACAUGAAAUUUGUAACCUCAGUUGUGAAUUCGCUAUUUACCAUGACAAGGUUUAAGUUCUUCAGU